rnacentral:rRNA from 1 species
CGGCGGACGGGUGGAGUAAUGCCUAGGAAUCUGCCUGGUAGUGGGGGACGAACGUUUCGAAAGGAACGCUAAUACCGCAUACGUCCUACGGGACGAAAGCAGGGACCUUCGGGCCUUGCGCUAUCAGAUGAGCCUAGGUCGGAUUAGCUAGUUGGUGAGGUAAUGGCUCACCAAGGCGACGAUCCGUAACUGGUCUGAGAGGAUGAUCAGUCACACUGGAACUGAGACACGGUCCAGACUCCUACGGGAGGCAGCAGUU